rnacentral:rRNA from 1 species
GACGAACGCUGGCGGCGUGCUUAACACAUGCAAGUCGAACGGAAAGGCCCUGCUUUUGUGGGGUGCUCGAGUGGCGAACGGGUGAGUAACACGUGAGUAACCUGCCCUUGACUUUGGGAUAACUUCAGGAAACUGGGGCUAAUACCGGAUAGGAGCUCCUGCUGCAUGGUGGGGGUUGGAAAGUUUCGGCGGUUGGGGAUGGACUCGCGGCUUAUCAGCUUGUUGGUGGGGUAGUGGCUUACCAAGGCUUUGACGGGUAGCCGGCCUGAGAGGGUGACCGGCCACAUUGGGACUGAGAUACGGCCCAGACUCCUACGGGAGGCAGCAGUGGGGAAUAUUGCACAAUGGGCGGAAGCCUGAUGCAGAACGCCGCGUGCGGGAUGACGGCCUUCGGGUUGUAAACCGCUUUCGCCUGUGACGAAGCGUGAGUGACGGUAAUGGGUAAAGAAGCACCGGCUAACUACGUG